UACGGAGGGUGCAAGCGUUGUUCGGAUUUAUUGGGCGUAAAGGGCGUGUAGGCGGUUCGUUAAGUCUGAUGUGAAAGCCCCGGGCUCAACCUGGGAAGUGCAUUGGAAACUGGCGAACUUGAGUACGGGAGAGGGCAGUGGAAUUCCUAGUGUAGGAGUGAAAUCCGUAGAUAUUAGGAGGAACACCGGUGGCGAAGGCGGCUGCCUGGACCGAUACUGACGCUGAGACGCGAAAGCGUGGGGAGCAAACAGG
rnacentral:rRNA from 1 species